AAGGUAAUAGUCCUGUAUGUUAAACGAGAAGACUUCAGAUAUGAUCCAGAGUACCACGGGACACGUGAAACCCUGUGGGAAGCAGGAGGGACCACCCUCCAAGGCUAAAUACUACCUAGUGACCGAUAGCGUAUAGUACCGUGAGGGAAAGGUGAAAAGAACCCCGGGAGGGGAGUGAAAUAGAACCUGAAACCCUGCACUUACAAGCUGUGGAAGCACAUUUCUUGUGUGACCGCGUACUUUUUGUAGAACGGGCCAACGAGUUACGUUAAGUAGCAAGGUUAAGCACUUAAGGUGUGGAGCCGUAGCGAAAGCGAGUUUUAACUGAGCGUUCAGUUACUUGACGUAGACCCGAAACCGGGCGACCUACCCAUGAGCAGGAUGAAGCGAAAGUAAAAUUUCGUGGAGGUCCGAACCCACGAGCGUUGAAAAGCUCGGGGAUGACUUGUGGGUAGCGGUGAAAUUCCAAUCGAGCCCGGAGAUAGCUGGUUCUCCCCGAAAUAGCUUUAGGGCUAGCCUCAAGGUGAGAGAUACGGAGGUAGAGCACUGAAUGUCCUAGGGGGUAUUGCACCUACCGAAGACUAUCAAACUCCGAAUGCCGUCAUCUUAUACUUGGGAGUCAGACUGUGGGUGAUAAGAUUCAUAGUCGAAAGGGCAACAGCCCAGAUCGUCAGCUAAGGUCCCUAAAUGUAAGUUAAGUGGUAAAGGAUGUGGGAUUGCACAGACAACCAGGAUGUUGGCUUAGAAGCAGCCACUCAUUCAAAGAGUGCGUAAUAGCUCACUGGUCGAGUGAUCCUGCGCCGAAGAUUUCCGGGGCUAAAACUUACUACCGAAGCUACGGCAUCAGUAAUGAUGGGUAGGGGAGCUUCCCAUACGGGUUGAAGCAUGACCGUAAGGACAUGUGGACAGUAUGGGAGUGAGAAUGUUGGCAUGAGUAGCGAGAUGUGGGUGAGAAUCCCACAGGCCGUAAACCCAAGGUUUCCAGGGGAAGGUUCGUCCGCCCUGGGUUAGUCGGGACCUAAGCUGAGGCCGAAAGGCGUAGGUGAUGGACAACAGGUUGAUAUUCCUGUACUACCGAUAACCGUUUGAGAGAAGGGAUGACACAGUAGGAUAAGCUAAGCACACUGUUGGUUAUGUGUGCCCAAGCAUUGAGGCAGUCAAAGUAGGCAAAUCCGCUUUGAUAAUGCUGGGAUGUGAUGGGGAGCGAAAUUUAGUAGCGAAGUAGCUGAUUUCACACUGUCAAGAAAAGUCUCUAUCGAGGUUAAAGGUACCCGUACCGCAAACCGACACAGGUGGGUGAGGAGAGUAUCCUAAGGCCAGCGAGAGAACUGUUGUUAAGGAACUCGGCAAAAUGACCCCGUAACUUAGGGAUAAGGGGUGCCACCAUCAGGUGGCCGCAGAGAAUAGGCCCAAGCGACUGUUUACCAAAAACAUAGGUUUCUGCUAAGUCGCAAGACGAUGUAUAGGAGCUGACGCCUGCCCGGUGCUGGAAGGUUAAGGGGAUCUGUUAGAGCAAUCGAAGCAGUGAACUUAAGCCCCAGUAAACGGCGGCCGUAACUAUAACGGUCCUAAGGUAGCGAAAUUCCUUGUCGGGUAAGUUCCGACCCGCACGAAAGGCGUAACGAUUUGGGCACUGUCUCAACAACAGACUCGGUGAAAUUGUAAUUCCGGUGAAGAUGCCGGAUACCUGCGACAGGACGGAAAGACCCCAUGGAGCUU
rnacentral:rRNA from 1 species